GUGGGAAUUCCUCUUUCCUGACAUCUUUCCAGGCUGCUUCUCUGAGAUACUUCAUCUACCACUUCUGUCAAGAUCCUCUUUAAAGCUCCCCCGUCCAGUGUAAUUUUUUCUAAUAACGCUCUCCAUGCUGGCUCAUUGCUGUGCUCCCAUCAAUACACUCACUGCUCUCUCUGGGCCUCUGAGUCCUGCCUUGCUCCUGUGAUGCCUUGCCGGCUCCCUGCUACAUAAAAUGGAAUUUUCAGCCCUCACCCGAGUGAACUCCCUGUGGGUUAUUGUCCAAAUCUCUCCACGGGAUAUGAGGCAGCUCUCUCCACUGGCGAGGGAGGAUGGGGAGUAAGAAUGAAGAGGAGAGAAAGAGAAUGAGAGGAGGGCCUCACAGCUGGAGGAGAUGAGAACUAAGGUUCUCAAGCUACUAUUGUUGCAUCAGUCUCCUCUCUCCGUGCCUCUACAGUGUGUGAUGUCUUUCCACUCCAAUGCAACUUUCAAAGCCAAACCAUUUAUGAGGUUGAACAGUCGGUACAGCCAUUCUGGGACUACCAUCACAGCAAGCAGGAAGAGGGGCUGGCUGAUACUUGUUCCAGAUCUUCUUGUAGGCUUCCUUGGCCCUGGACUUUCAGCUGAAAAAAUUCCCCAGUCAUGGUGAUUCUCUUCCCUGGUUGGUGAAUAGUUUUAAGGAUGUUGUUCCAGAUGUGAUGCUGGGAACUGUGGCAACCGUGAGGGCACUAGUCUAAGGACCAAGCUGACACCCUGCGGAUGGAAGAACCUGGGUCCUCGUGCUGUGGUUAAGCCCUGAGUUAGCCAACCCUAGAACCUUCCCACCCUGGGACUUCUUGUUACAUGAGAUAGUAGAUGUUAUUAUUAUUUGAACCAUGCAAACCAGAGUUUUCUGCUGCUUGUUGUCCAUUGCAUCCUAACUGAUAUCACCUCAGGGCAUCUCAUGGCUCCUUCUCAUCAUAUAAGGGUCAGGACAAAUGUCCCCUCCUCAGAAAGUCCUUUUCCAGCCACCCUAAGGAAAUAACCUGCAAUGUCCCCCUCCUUGCAUUGGUUGCUGUUACUAGCGUGCAUAUCUGUAAUAAUCUUGCUAGGCAGGCUCCCUCACUUGAGUAUAAGUUCCCUGAGAUUAAGAGCAUUAAGAGCAUUCUGUCAC
rnacentral:lncRNA from 1 species